UACGGAGGGAGCUAGCGUUGUUCGGAAUUACUGGGCGUAAAGCGCGCGUAGGCGGCUUUGUAAGUUAGAGGUGAAAGCCCGGAGCUCAACUCCGGAACUGCCUUUAAGACUGCAUCGCUUGAAUCCGGGAGAGGUGAGUGGAAUUCCGAGUGUAGAGGUGAAAUUCGUAGAUAUUCGGAAGAACACCAGUGGCGAAGGCGGCUCACUGGACCGGCAUUGACGCUGAGGUGCGAAAGCGUGGGGAGCAAACAGG
rnacentral:rRNA from 1 species